rnacentral:misc_RNA from 1 species
CACACACACACACACACAUACACAAACGCGGAAAUAUGCAAGGUGUUUUCAAGCAAAUUACUAUUGAAAGCAUUGCAGUACUUUCUGAUAAUUGUUGUGUUUGCCACCUGUUUACUUGCCUUACUGAGCAGUCUUUCAUAUGGGUGACCUGACUUUAGGAUGUGGUGUUGCUUCAUGCUAAGCUGCAAUAAGUGAUUCUGUGAUUCUCAGCCCCAUAAUUAGCUUGUUCAUUGUUUCCUUCAAUGGUUAUAAAGACAGAAACUUCUAGUUCUUACCAUGCUUCUUUAUCAUUAUUGAAAUGGAUAAAGACAAUAAAGGUAUAGUAUGGCACAAGCAUGCUGAAGCAAUGUUUCUUAAUAUAUAUAUAUCUUCCAAGAGGUGGGAACACAUGAUUGUUAAUUUUUUUAAUUGCCAAGAGACUCCUAAUUAUAAAUAAUGGAUAAGACUUUGUUAUAAUUCAUGUCCUUUAUAGAAGAUGCAUGCUUGGCAUACAUAAGUAGAGGUUGAAACUUCUAGGGAAAAGGUUCUGAGUCGCCCCUAUACUUUUCAGUAAGGCACAAUUGAGCCCUAAUUCUUUUUUGGACCCAAUGAAGCCCUUGAACAUCAAUUUUGAGUUCAUUUAGGCCUUUGAAUUAAAAUUUUUCAUCAAUUUAACCAAUUUGAUAAACUUUCAUUAAAAUUCUGUCAAAAUCUGACAUACGGUCCUAUAAAAUUAAUAAAAUAUUAUCUAAAAAUAUUUUAAAAAAAAGGAAGCAAUAAUCCAUGGACAAAAAAGCCU